GGUAGUGUGGCCGAGCGGUCUAAAGUGCUGGAUUAAGGCUCCAGUCUCUUCGGGGGUGUGGGUUUGAAUCCUGCUGCUGCCA
rfam:Tauraco erythrolophus contig107893, whole genome shotgun sequence.